CGUCCGGUAUGGUAAGAGCCUGUAGGAUGCACAAUGGAUGAUCCGCAGCCGAGCCCCUACCGCGAAAGCCACGGGGAAGGUUCACAGACUAGGUGAUUAUGGGUCGGCCGCUGCCGGAUCUAAGAUAUAGUCGGUCCUAGGGAGAAAUCUCGGGGGUUUCAGCGUCGUCUUGGUCAUUUCGAGGAAGUAAAAGUCGUAACAAGGUCUCCGUAGGUGAACUGCGGAGGGAUCAUUACAGAGUUCAUGCCUAUAGGGUAGAUCUCCCACCCUUUGUCUUAUAUACCUCUGUUGCUUUGGCAGUUCUGCUGGUUAAGCGCCCUGCCAGAGGACCCCCAACUCUGAGAGUUAGUGUCGUCUGAGUACUAUAUAAUAGUUAAAACUUUCAACAACGGAUCUCUUGGUUCUGGCAUCGAUGAAGAACGCAGCGAAAUGCGAUAAGUAAUGUGAAUUGCAGAAUUUAGUGAAUCAUCGAAUCUUUGAACGCACAUUGCGCCCCUUGGCAUUCCGAGGGGCAUGCCUGUUCGAGCGUCAUUACAACCCUCAAGCUCUGCUUGGUGUUGGGCAUCGCCAGUCUUGGUGUGCCUUAAAAUCAGUGGCGGUGCCAUCUGGCCCCUCAGCAUAGUAGUAUUUCUCUUGCUAUAGGGGACCUGGUAGGUGCCUGCCAUCUAACCCCCU
rnacentral:rRNA from 1 species